AAAUUAUUCGGUGUAACCGAUGCCAGGUUAGCAAAUGCAUGGACGUACAAGCUGAAUGAAAUAGACAUACGCAGUCAUGGGAUAGGCAUUGGUGUGAACCAGGGAGGUGGAUUUUACCCAUUGGAACAGCUUCCAAGAUCCGCAUUGGUUAAAAGUGUCACAGAAGGUCGCCAUGGGAAAGGUGCUAUAUUUAUAUUUGGUUCUGGAAAUGACGGGGAGCUUCUUGAUGAUUGCAAUACAGUGGAGCAAGUAAACAGUAUAUAUACAAUAAGUGUUUCCCCCUUAGCACCGGACGGAGGCCCGGCAGUUUACGCCGAGGAAUGCGCAUGCGUGAUAACUGCUGCCUAUGCCGGCGAGGAUUAUUAUAAUGGGACAAAGAAGUACCUGGCAACAACAUACAUCAAUGACACUUGUAUAGAUAACUAUGGAGGCGGUGCUGCAGCCAGCUCUGUGGCAACAGGAGUUAUAGCCCUUGCUUUACAAGCAAAUCCCGAUCUAACUUGGCGAGAUGUACAGCAUUUAUUAGCAGAAACUUCCAUAUCUACAGAUAUACCUAGGGGAAAUUUCUACACAAACGCAGCUGGCAAAAAC